UACGUAGGGUCCGAGCGUUGUCCGGAGUUACUGGGCGUAAAGCGCGCGCAGGCGGCGGCGUGGGUCCGGCGUGAAAGCCCCCGGCUCAACCGGGGAGAGUCGUCGGGGACCGCGCCGCUUGAGGUCGGCAGGGGCUGGUGGAAUGCCCGGUGUAGUGGUGAAAUGCGUAGAGAUCGGGCGGAACACCCGUGGCGAAGGCGGCCAGCUGGGCCGAAUCUGACGCUGAGGCGCGAAGGCGUGGGGAGCGAACGGG
rnacentral:rRNA from 1 species